CUUGGCUAGUAGAAAAUUUCAGCUUCAAAUGGUUGGUCGAUACCACAGCUCGAAGGGCGUUGAGGCCAAGUCGGCCGAGUAUUACGUUGUAGGCAGACGGCACCCUUACUACCAGAAAAUUCACUUGUGCUCUUGAUUACUUUGGGUACCGGCCUGCAACCACGGUUAAAGUUAUUACCCCUUCUACUGACAUGGCAUCGCCAGUGAACCACACCAAUGGGGAGCU
rnacentral:lncRNA from 1 species